rnacentral:rRNA from 1 species
UGGGGAAUAUUGCACAAUGGGCGAAAGCCUGAUGCAGCGACGCCGCGUGAGGGAUGACGGCCCUCGGGUUGUAAACCUCUUUCGGCAGGGACGAAGCGAACGUGACGGUACCUGCAGAAGAAGUCCCGGCUAACUACGUGCCAGCAGCCGCGGUAAGACGUAGGGGACGAGCGUUGUCCGGAAUCAUUGGGCGUAAAGCGCGCGUAGGCGGCCGCGCAAGUCGGGUGUGAAACCCCGGGCGUCACCCGGCCUGCAUCGAUACUGCGUGGCUAGAGGUAGGUAGGGGA